GGGGUCGUAGCUUAGCCCGGUUUAAAGCGCAGCACUGUCACUGCUGAGAUCGCGGGUCCAAAUCCCGUCGGCCCCG
rnacentral:tRNA from 1 species